UACGUAGGGUGCGAGCGUUUGUUCGGAAUUAUUGGGCGUAAAGAGCUCGUAGGCGGUGUGUCGCGUCGGUCGUGAAAACUUGGGGCUUAACCCUGAGCUUGCGGUCGAUACGGGCAUCACUGGAGUUCGGCAGGGGAGACUGGAAUUCCUGGUGUAGCGGUGAAAUGCGCAGAUAUCAGGAGGAACACCGGUGGCGAAGGCGGGUCUCUGGGCCGAUACUGACGCUGAGGAGCGAAAGCGUGGGGAGCGAACAGG
rnacentral:rRNA from 1 species